CGUGCGCGGGCCAGUGGCGAGGCUCCUGUUGCGCCCGCUGUUGCUGCUGCUGCCACCGCCUCGCCCCCUCCCGCCCCUGCUUCCUGCGUUGGCCCGUCCUCCGCUGGGGCGUUUAGAGUGGGUCCUUCUUGCUGCAUUGCACCUCCCGCCGGGGUGAAGAAAUCUGUGAUGGCCCGCUGGCGGGAUCUCUGCUGCUGGGGCUGCCCCAUCAUCUGUCGCUGUCGCUGCUGCUGCUGCUGUCCCGCCGUUGCUGUCGCCCCCAUCCGUCCCUGUCGCCGGGUUGCUGCUCGGAGGCAGCACCUGCCGACUUCCAUGGCGGAUAGCGCCGCUAGGGCGAUCACGUCCCAGGGGCCUUGCUCGCACGCGGGUGGUGCUUGGGCAACCCAGAGCUGCUGUCGGGUGGUGGUGGCCCCUACUGUUGUCUGAGUGUGUGGCAGGUGCCUGU
rnacentral:lncRNA from 1 species